rnacentral:lncRNA from 1 species
CGCUAGAUGCUGUUACUGAAAAGCAAGCUCAUAUGGCUGAAAGUUUCUUGGCUGAGAUGCUAUCCAAAGUGGUAACCCAGAUGGAUAUCUACAUGCUCCCACUGGCAGGAGUGGUUUAGCAACCAAUGCUUUUACUGUUAAUCAUUUCGAUGGUUAUGUCAUUGAUCUAUUCAUGAGCUUUUUACCUCCAGGCUGCUCUGUCAGGUUUUUCUUGGUCCAUGUACCACACAAUGCUUGGCUUGGGAAACACCUUUCUCACUAUGCUUCUCUUGUUAGGCUGUAGGGCAGAAAAAGCCAAUUGUUAGCCUCCAGCAUUUCUCACUCAUCCUCCACUGCUGACUUCCAACAUCCACAAUAGGCAGAACCUCUCCUACAAAUUUACCAUCCUGCUUGGAAAUGAAGCACUUCCUUCCUCUUUAUUUAUUGUGUUUCUUCUCCUGCCGUGUUUCUCAUUGGAGACAUAAUUGAAGGAAAAUCAAGGGAUGCACUCAUCACUACUUGGGGCCAGGCUGAAUAGUGGGCUUCCACAUCCUUCAGUUCAGUACCUCAGGGACAAACACCCAUAUGGAGAAACACUAGUACUAGUAAUGGGCAUAGUGCAGGGCCAAGAAUGAGACACUUCCUGAGUACCAUGCAACUCCUUCCUUUGUUAGUUGUACAAAGAGACAAAUUCCAUGAAAAAGGCUGCCUCGCACACUGAUGCACUGAAUACACAAAAUCAGAUACCUUUCUAGAGUGCAUCAUAUAUAAGAGGUUUCUGGAAGUCACAAGAAAUUGCAUGCUGUAGAUGCAGUAGUUCUGGUUGUAUGUCAAUUGCUCCAAAAAAAAAAAAAAAAAAAAAAGCUUUUGCACUCUCUUUACUUUCUCCUUAAGCAAAGAAAGGGAAGGACUGGAGAGAUUCCAAAAUCAAGGCUGGAUGAAUUGAUGCAUAUUAGCAGGGUGGGAGAUCUUAUCUUCAUACUGCAUGGAUGUUCCUAAUUACAUAUACUUAGCAGCUUACGAUACUAAGAGGAAUUGCUUUUUCCCCUCUAAACAAAGACAUUCAUACUAUUACCUAUGCAGCACAAAGACCUUUGCACACACAAGAGCUUUCAGGGUCACACUAUGAAGAAGGGUUUCCCAAUGUCUAACCUAAAUCUUUCUUGCACAGUCUAAGUCUUUUGCUUCAGGAGUCUAUAUGCACGCAUCAGAAAGGCUAUUCCAUUCACCUUUUGCUGCAAUCUUUCACAGAGGUGAAGAAUCAUAGACUGAAGAAGAAAAAUCUGAGAAGUGCAAAGAAGACCAGUUUUAAUUCUUUCCCCAGCAGAUUUUGUUUAGAUUCCUCAUUUUUCAUAAUCAAUGAGAAUGGUUAGUUUGCUCCAAGGUGUUCCCUAUUAACCUUUCUGUGCCUGCCAGUUUCUUCACACUGUCUGCAAUCCAAAAUGGCAGUGAGAACAUUUCCUUGGAAACUUUCUACAGUUGGAACAUAGCCAUUAAAAUGUUGCAAGUUUUUACUUGAAACUUAAAAUAAAACAUAAAUUUUGUGACA